GUGCUUGCUUUGGCAGCACAUACGCUAAACCUGGAACGAUACAGAGAAGAUUAGCAUGGCCCCUGCACAAGGAUGACAAACAAAUUCAUGAAGCAUUCCAUACUUUU
rnacentral:snRNA from 2 species